rnacentral:rRNA from 1 species
AACGAACUGUGGCGGCAUGCCUAACACAUGCAAGUCGAACGAGCCCUUCGGUUCUAGGUGCCCGCGGUUGCGUAUCGCGUGGUUCCCUGCCCUUAUGUUCGGAGUAAUUCACCUAUUGCUUUCCUAAUACCGGAUAAUGUCCUCGGACCAAAGAUUUAUCGCCCUUGGAUGGGCCCGCGUUGGAUUAGCUCGUUGGUAGGGUACAAGCCUACCAAGGCGACGAUCCAUAGCUGGUCUGAGAGGAUGAUCGGCCACACUGGGACUUAGACACGGCCUAGACUCCUACGGGAGGCAGCAGGGGGGAAUACUAGCCUAGGGGCGCUAGCCUGAGCGAGCAAGGGCGGGUGAGUGCUGGAGGCCUUAGGGUUGCAAAGCGCUUAUACCGGUGAUGAGACUGACGGGACCGGGAGAAUAAGCCCCGGCUAACUCCGUG